rnacentral:rRNA from 1 species
UACGAAGGGGGCUAGCGUUGCUCGGAAUCACUGGGCGUAAAGCGCACGUAGGCGGCUUUCUAAGUCAGGGGUGAAAUCCUGGAGCUCAACUCCAGAACUGCCUUUGAUACUGGAGAGCUCGAGUCCGGAAGAGGUGAGUGGAACUCCGAGUGUAGAGGUGAAAUUCGUAGAUAUUGGGAAGAACACCAGUGGCGAAGGCGGCUAACUGGUCCAGAUCUGACGCUGAGGUGCGAAAGCGUGGGGAGCAAACAGG